rnacentral:lncRNA from 1 species
AUCAAUAUACUUAAAAGACAUUUAAUAAUGAUAAUCAUUUUAGGAAAGAUUGUUUACAACAUAACCACUAAAAAUUAUUUAUUUGAUGUAAGGAGACAAUCAACUCGAUAAUAUAUAAACUGAUAAAAUCAUUUGUUACAUGAAAAGAGAAAUAUGGUCGAAUUUGUCAAGUUUGUUCAUGUUAUGAUUAUCUUUCUUUCCUUAUUUCUUUUUGCAAAGAACGUUGUAGGUACGCCAUUUUUAUCAUUUUCAAAUUUCCUUUUUUACUUUUGUGUCCAAUAUUUUAUUAUUUAUUUUAGUUACACUUAUUAUUUAUUUAUGUAUUACAACAGGUAUUAUAUGUUUUCAAGAUUCUGAUUGUCCACAAGAUAUGUGCCCAUAUCCUUUUAAACCGAAGUGUAAUAAUUACGGCUAUUGUACGUGUUAGAAAUAUUUUUCCAUUAGAUUCUAUCUCCACAUAAAUAGCACUUUUGUAAUUCUAGUUUUCUGCAAAGGAUUUCUGUCUAUUCUUGCUACUGUUUUGAGUAUUUCAAUUCUGAAAUAUAAGAAUGAGUAGUCUACUUUACCUUAGGGUUGCAGAGAGUCCCUUGGU